UACGUAGGGGGCAAGCGUUGUCCGGAAUCAUUGGGCGUAAAGAGCGCGUAGGCGGCCCUGUAAGUCCGCUGUGAAAGUCAAGGGCUCAACCCUUGGAUGCCGGUGGAUACUGCAGGGCUAGAGUCCGGAAGAGGCGAGUGGAAUUCCUGGUGUAGCGGUGAAAUGCGCAGAUAUCAGGAGGAACACCAAUGGCGAAGGCAGCUCACUGGGACGGUAUUGACGCUGAGACGCGAAAGCGUGGGGAGCAAACAGG
rnacentral:rRNA from 1 species